CAAGUCAAAGCAUGUCAAACAUUCUGGGGUAGAGCUCAGAAGUUCGCUGCGCCUUCAAACGUGAAACAGGUGACAACAUGACAGCGGGCAGUCCUAUGAUAGGACUUUGAGCAUAUGUCGGACAGGCAGUAAGGGGCACAGCUCUUGCCAGUCGGGACAACGCCCACUAGAGGGGAAAUGACACAGCAACACCUGGCAUACGUAUAUACUGACCUGGAGGUAAUUACACGUUUUCCCUGCAGGAAAGGAAAAUAGAAAGAUCGAGGCUCUAAACAGUAAACAGCAUCGAGGCCAGUCUCUAGCCCAGAGGUGGAAAUAAUGCUCGAGUGCAAUGACAGGACGGAAGGACAGGCAUCAUGCAGGAAAGAAAACAAAUAAAAAAUACAAAAGACUGUGAUGAGGAAAGUUUGUGCAAGAGGGCCACUGUGAAUUCCUGUCAAUAGCUUCUGCAUGUGAAACAAAGUUGCACAAGAAUGGAAUGAUAUCAGUGCAAGAGGUUCUUUUUCAACAAUCAUAUCUGACCACAAAAGAUAUGUUUGAAAAAAACCAAAAUCUUAAUGGACCAAAAUGUACCUGCACAUUACUCAUGCUGACAUAAUUACCAGUUUCCUAAAAGAAAAGUUAGAUAAGGAGUUGGUUACUGAUGGCAUAAAUAGUAUGCAAUUCAAAAUGUCAAAAUGCGUGUUCAUAAUAUAAAGGUACUUUUGAGACAGGAGGCACAGUUUCUUAUAAGUUUGUUAUAGACUUGCUCUUUAUAUGUUUAACAAGGAAAAUAAAAAUGUUAGGAAAUUGUUAACAUUUUUUCCUUACACCUAAAAGUAAGUUUAAAUACAGCUUAAGUAAUUUACAUAAAUCACUGCCUAACUUGCUGCUUAAAGGUAAUGAGGAAACUUUACAGUGGAAAGGCAAAACAUCAAUUUUAAUAUUUUAUAACAUGAAUGUCUAGCAAAGUAUUUGUAGGGGGAAAAUUUACAAUGCAGCAAUAUGUUAACUUUGAGACCUUAUUACCGUUCUCUUUGUAGUUUGUACACUCAUUUCUUGAUUAUUUCUGUUCUGCAUAAAUGAAAAUACUCUUAAAACCAGCUUGAA